UCACUUACUGGAUUGAGCAGUGCAAGCUCCUUUUCUACUUUCCACCGGGGUGCAUGGUGUACACCACCUCGCCUAUUCCUGGAAGAUCAGUUUGAUGUUGUUCCUCCAGAGACUGGAUCUGUCAGUUCUUUAGGAAAAAAGACAGUGGGAGAGGAGCCAAACAGGAAAAAGAACCCAGCAGCAGUAAAGAUCAGCCCAUGGACAUUGGCCCGAUUAAAUGCAGAAGAGGUUUCGAAAGCUGCAGCAGAGGCAAGAAAAAAAUCCCGAAUCUUGCGGCCUUUGGUGCGACGGGAAGCCCCUUUUGGGCUAGAAGGAGAUAGUAGCUUUGGCAGCAGUGGCCGUCGGAUGGUCCCAAGGCCUGACAAUAGUAGGAGGAAAGUUAAUAAGAGAGUACGCCUGCCAGCUGACCUACCUAUGGAGCCCGUAACUAAGGUUUCAGGUAUGGCUGGGAGAAAAUUUUCACCGAGACAUCCACAAGCUUGGCCCCUCUUCAGCUUGAGGCAAGGAGUGCUUUCCAGACUAGCCGAGCAAUGUCAAGCUCAGUAGGGAUUGUUGCUUCUUCUCCAGAAAGCAGUUU
rnacentral:misc_RNA from 1 species